rnacentral:rRNA from 1 species
CUCAGUACGGCGAGUGAAGCGGCAAGCUCAAUUUGAAAUCUGGGGGUCCGAGUUGUAAUUYGCAGAGUGUGUUUCGGGCGAGGCCGCGUUUUAAGUCCAUUGGAACAUGGUGUCAUAGAGGGUGAGAAUCCCGUAUGCGACCGUGGUCCGAGCCCAUGUGAAGCCUCUUCCACGAGUCGAGUUGUUUGGGAAUGCADCUCUUAAUGGGKGGUAAAUUUCAUCUAAAGCUAAAUACUGGCKGGAGACCGAUYGCGCMAAGUAGAGUGAUCGAAAGAUGAAAAGCACUUUGAAAAGAGAGUUAAAAAGUACGUGAAAUUGUUGAARGGGAAGCGCUUGCRACCAGACCUGCCCGUAGGUGAUCAGCCUCUGUUCUCRGGGGUGCACUCGCUCUACAAUCAGGCCAGCAUCGGUAUGGGCGGUCGGAUAAAGGCCUUGGGAAUGUAGCUCCCUYUCGGGGGAGUCUUAUAGCCCUCGGUGCARUGCGGCCASCCGGGACCGAGSACCGCGCUUCKGCUAGGAUGCUGGCRUAAUGKUUGCAAGCGACCCGUCUUGAAACACGGACCAAGGAGUCUAACAUCUAUGCGAGUGUUUGGGUGUCAAACCCAUACGC